AAGAGGCAGUCCAAUGGUCUUUUCUUUCUUUUUCUCCCGAAGAGGCAGUCCAAUGGUCUUUUCUUUCUUUUUCUCCCGAAGAGGCUACUGCCUCUUGUUCUAUUUUUUCUCUCUUUAAGGUUUUUCAGAGAAAAACUUGAAAAGCCUUGAUAUAUGAAGAUGUAACGGUCCAAAUUUAAGUCUGACUUCGAAAACGUGAUCAAAGAAGCUCGAUCUAUAUUUCUACUUAUUAGUUAAGCUUGCAAAGAUUCGUCAAACACCAGCAUACUGGUCACCAGAAGUAGCGAGUUUGUAAUUAGAAGGGAUGAGUUGUGGAACUUUGGCAUCACUUGGACCAAUCUUGGCAAUAAUCUUCUCGUCUAUAGCAGCUACAUAGACAUCCGCAUCAGCCGCUAGAAUUCGCAAGGAACUGGUGGGUUUGAUCCCAUUUCUCGAUCGGAUCUUAAUGAGUUCAGUGAUCGGACCUUUGAUACCUCCGUUGAAGGUAUCAAAGAAGUGAUCAUAAAACUGUCACAAAAUAAAAAGAUUUGCAUUAAUUCACCUAAUACAAACAAGAGCGUAUUUGUUUUGUAAGAAAUCAUUAGUAAGAGUAGCAUAUGUAAUUAAGUAAUCAUAGUGACAAGGGCAGAAAUUUCAUCGGCUUUCAUGUUUGUAAACCUUUUCCUUAAGGGUGCACUGCAUGAAAUGAACAGCAGAAGCAGUUUAUCUAGUUUCUGGGCAAUUGAAGAAAUUGUUGUCAAUAAAAAUUUAUCUGCUCUAAA